rnacentral:rRNA from 1 species
GGAAUGGUUUUAGUGAGGUCUUCGGACGGCGGUAAGCGGGACCGUCUUCGUGUCGGUCUUGCCGAACGCUGGGAAGAUGACCAAACUUGAGCAUUUAGAGGAAGCAAAAGCCGUAACAAGGUUUCCGUAGGUGAACCUGCGGAAGGAUCAUUA